rnacentral:tRNA from 1 species
GAGAAUGUAGCUCAGUGGUAGAGGACUCACCUAGCAUGUGUGAGGGCCUGGGUUCAAUUCCCAGUACCCACC